rnacentral:rRNA from 1 species
UACGAAGGGGGCUAGCGUUGUUCGGAAUUACUGGGCGUAAAGCGCACGUAGGCGGAUCGAUCAGUCAGGGGUGAAAUCCCAGGGCUCAACCCUGGAACUGCCUUUGAUACUGUCGAUCUGGAGUAUGGAAGAGGUGAGUGGAAUUCCGAGUGUAGAGGUGAAAUUCGUAGAUAUUCGGAAGAACACCAGUGGCGAAGGCGGCUCACUGGCCCGGUACUGACGCUGAGGUGCGAAAGCGUGGGGAGCAAACAGG